UACGAAGGGGACUAGCGUUGUUCGGAAUUACUGGGCGUAAAGCGCACGUAGGCGGAUUUGUAAGUCAGGGGGGAAAUCCCGGGGCUCAACCUCGGAACUGCCUUUGAUACUGCAAGUCUCGAGUCCGAUAGAGGUGGGUGGAAUUCCUAGUGUAGAGGUGAAAUUCGUAGAUAUUAGGAAGAACACCGGUGGCGAAGGCGGCCCACUGGAUCGGUACUGACGCUGAGGUGCGAAAGCGUGGGGAGCAAACAGG
rnacentral:rRNA from 1 species